rnacentral:rRNA from 1 species
AUUGAACGCUGGCGGCAGGCCUAACACAUGCAAGUCGAACGGUAACAGGGAGCAGCUUGCUGAUUCGCUGACGAGUGGCGGACGGGUGAGUCAUGUCUGGGAAACUGCCUGAUGGAGGGGGAUAACUACUGGAAACGGUAGCUAAUACCGCAUAACGUCGCAAGACCAAAGAGGGGGAGCUUCGGGCGUCUUGCCAUCGGAGGUGCCCAGAUGGUAUUCGCUAGUAGGUGGGGUAACGGCUCACCUAGGCGACGAGCGCUAGCUGGUGUGAGAGGAUGACCAGCCACCCUGGAAGUGAGCCACGGUCAAGACUCCUACGGGAGGCAGCAGUGGGGAAUAGUGGACAAAGGGCGCAAGCCUGAUGCAGCCAUGCCGCGUGUAUGAAGAAGGCCUUCGGGUUGUAAAGUACGUUCAGCGGGGAGAAAGGGAGUAAGGUUAAUACCUUGGCUGAUUGACGUUACUCGCAGAAGAAGCACCGGCUAACUACGUG